AUAACGUUCCGAGCUAUGAAUUCCGAUUUAAAUUUAUUUUGGCCCUGAUGUCCGACCAUAGCUACAGGGCCGCCCCAUUCGCGUCGCGUCGCGUACGUACGUAUAUAUAUUGACGUGACUAGACUGUGAGUGACUGAUGACUUCAGACAUCAAAAAUUAGAAUUCAGUUUAGAUUGAAGGACUAUGGCCGGCGAGGAAGAGACCCCCUUCAAUGAUCCUUUAGGUGAGGAUGACAACUCAUGGAAAUACUGGAUAGAAAAGAAUGUUAUCCUUUGGGCUGCCAAGGACCCCUGGGGAUUUAUCACCACCAUCUUUAUGUUCCUGACCCCCCUCUUUAUCCUCAGUGGCAUCCUCUCUUACAUCCUUUACAAAGACAUUGAGAAGAAGGACAAGGAGAAGAGGCGAAAAGCGAAGCGGGACACCAACAUUGCCAAGGCGCGUGGCAGAAGUAACCGCUCAAAGAAGUCAGAUUGAUGAUGACCCAUUGGGACUUUCUACUCGCGAUCAUCCCAAGUUGAUUCGAUCAUUAGACUUUUAGAUAUUCGGACCCUCGAUCGUUUAAUUGGAAGGCAAGAGCCAGAACCACGAGACCGUGAUAUCAAUUAGGAAAGGAUAGUUUAUGAUUUACUCCAGAUUUUAACUUUUUAUAUUUAAUUUAAACCAGCCGCAAUUAAGUAGGAGAUGGAAAAAUCAAGAGUGAUAUUACUUUGCCGAUAUGAGGAAUCUCCAAGAACAUGGAAAUGUUUUUUUUUUAACCUGCAUAUAUCUGUUUCAUUUUCUGACCUUUGAACUGAACCAAGGAGGUAGCUCAAGGCAAUCUGGUCAUAGACUCAUUCUGUACAUCAAGUGACAUUGUUCAUCAAUUAAAAUAUCCAAUAAUCCACUUCAACUAUAUGGAAUUGCAUUGCCAUAAUUUUUCCACAGAAAUUUGCCCAAUGUCCUUUAAAGAUGUCAUUCAAUGAUGAAUGUACAGCAGUACAGUAUACAUUACCGUAUUAUCUAGAAACAUUUUAAACAAACAUGCAUUUUAAAUGCUUGCGUUGUUGGCUUUCCAAAGUUGUGGUUGAUCAGAUCAAUCUCAACUCUACAUGGAUGUAAGAUGGGACCCAAAGAUGACAUAAUAUAUUUGCAGUCAAAUCGCCAAAAGGUCAUCAUGAAUACAGAUCUUUGCAUCCAAAAUGUAAUAAAAGGCCAAAUGUAGGUGGAUCUAGGUGUAUGUAUAUUUCACUUACUCUCACCAUUUGGAUGAUUUUAAUUUUUAAAAUAUCUAAACCAAUUCAUUACUAAUUGUGCAUUAAAUAUUGAUUUUAAGAAAUAUAUGCUUAGUCACAUAUGCUUGGUACCUGUAGGUUAAUUUGUAUACAUACUAGGAGAGAACCAAUUGUCAAAACAGUUGCUAAAGUUGCAGUACAUGUACUCUACAAUGUACAUGUACAGAUAAUAGCUCCAUGCUUAAACUACUUUUCCACUUGCAGAAUUUUGAUUGGACAUAUGAAAUUAUUAUUUGUUGUGAAUGUAUUUGGUCUAAAGUAAUCAACAUUGUAGCUUCUUGAUACUGUAAAGGAGGCAUUAUAAAUCAAUUGAGGAUGUGUACCUAGGUUUACAUGCCAGCAGCAUACUGACAUACAUGUAAAUGUAUCAUUCAUUUCUGCUUUCUGUGAAAGCUGUUAGUGUGCAGAUUUGAAUUUUUUAGUGAAAAUAAUUCCAUUCAUCUUGCCAAAUAAAUCGCUAAUGGCAUGAUUAAUGGCAAUUACGCAAGUUAACAUACAUUGUAAGUUACAUGUACCUCCGCAUUCUAUUACAUAACGGUAUGUGAUUAUUAAUUUAUUUGCUAUCAUUUUCCUUUUAAUUUCCAAAUCUUAAUUUAUUUGAUUUUUAAAAAGCUCAUGUAAAUGUAUCAUUAAGAAUUGACAAGGAAAUUUAUUGAACACAUCCAUUUUUAUAAAAGCCAAUGAUUCAGUUGUCACAAUUAAACUUUGCAAUACAAAUCAAGAUUAUUUUGGUUCAUGCAUACAUGCAUGUGGGAGUUUAAGUGUGCAAUAUAUUUCAGAUCUGUCAUUGGCAGAGGCAUUAGUUCAACAACUUCUAUCCCACUAGUUUACAUUUGACUUUUUUUUGUUUUUGCAAAGCUGCAAUAGUAAGUAUUUGCUGACCAAUAAGGAAUCUACAUGAUUUGCUUAUUAAACCAGAAAAACAUGCAAAUUGAGGAAGUAUUGACAUCCUAAACCAUAAAGAUACUAAGAUAGUACAUAAGUGGGGCACUUGAAGCAUUUAGAAGAACAUUUGAAUUGCUGAAUAUCCUCAUUUAUGAGACUUGUUUGUCAUUAGAGAUUAGCAAAAGUGUCAAUUACAGGAUGCUUUGCCAGCCAAAUGUAAACAAUGUUCAUUUCAAAUUAAAGGUCAUUGUUAGGCCUAGUCAUUAUUCCAUCAUUAACAGUAGAAUUAAUCUAGAUCUCAAUCGCAAAAUGUAGUAUGAUGAGUAUUUUUGCAUCCUUUACAUUAAAAGUAUGGGUAUUAUGCGUAGUAGUCUUUAAAAAAUGUGGAGCAAAUUGCAAUGCGAUACCAGGAAAAUUAUUCCCUGCAAAUCCCAAUUAUUUUCUGAGAAUUUUAGUGUUUGCUCUGAAAAAAAGACACAUAAUUCAUCACGAAUUGAUCUAGAUUUAAAAAAAUACUUUAAUGCAUGCAAUUAUGUGAUGAUCCACACAGAACACACUGGGAUUUUGUUCUAAACCGGUGGGGUUAUGUUAAAAUUUUCCAAUUUGUUGCUAUUUUUGUCUCACCUGCAUAGCAGAGUGAGACUAUAGGCGCCGCUUUUCCGACGGCGACGGCGGCGGCGGCGUCAACACCAAAUCUUAACCUGAGGUUAAGUUUUUUAAAUGACAGCAUAACUUAGAAAGUAUAUGGACCUAGUUCAUGAAACUUGGCCAUAAGGUUAAUCAAGUAUUACUGAACAUCCUGCUUGAGUUUCAUGUCACAUGACCAAGGUCAAAGGUCAUUUAGGGUCAAUGAACUUAGACCAUGUUGGGGGAAUCAACAUCAAAAUCUUAACCUAAGGUUAAGUUUUUGAAAUGUCAUCAUAACUUAGAAAAUAUAUGGACCUAGUUCAUGAAACUUAUACAUAAGGUUAAUCAAGUAUCACUGAACAUCCUGCAUGAGUUUCACAUCACAUGACCAAGGUCAAAGGUCAUUUAGGGUCAAUGAACUUUGGCCGAAUUGGGGGUAUCUGUUGAAUUACCAUCAUAACUUUGAAAGUUUAUGGAUCUGAUUCAUGAAACUUGGACAUAAUAGUAAUCAAGUAUUACUGAACAUCCUGUGCGAGUUUCAGGUCACAUGAUCAAGGUCAAAGGUCAUGUAAGGUCAAAGAACUUUGGCCACGUUGGGGGUAUUUGUUGAAUUGCCAUCAUAUCUCUAUUAGUGUAUUGGUCUAGUUCAUAAAACGUGGAAAUAAGAGUAACCAAGUAUCACUGAACAUCUUGUGCGAGUUAUAGUAGUUUUCAAAAUCAGCACUGCUGCUAUAUUGAAUCGCGUGAUGCAGGUGAGACGGCCAGAGGCAUUCCACUUGUUUAUAUAAAGAACUAUUUAGAACUUACAAAUUUAUGUAACUACCAGCCAAUCAAAAUCAUUUUCCAUGGCAGUUAGUAUAACAUUAUUAAGUCUUUUUGACCAGAGCAAUUGAUAAUGUGCGACUAUCUAAUUUCAUUUUGCUCCCUUUAUACAAUUCUUUAAAAGAUGAAAUUAAUGUACUUGAAAAUCAAAUAAUCUUGAAUUACAUUAACAUGUUCCAAGUCGGUAUGGCAAUGCAGAAUUUUGAUGUUUCUAUUUGAUCAAUGUAAAUGUGCAUACAUGUGUAGGACAAUUUAGAUGUAAAUAUUUGUCACCUGAGAAUUCUGUCGCUGCAAGUUUUGUAUCUGUACAUUGUGAAUGUUAAAAUUCAUAGUGUUUGUUGAAUUGUAAUGAAUUAUAACAGCAAUAAAGAUGAAAUUUGAUGGUUACUCA